CAAUCAAAUUCCGUGAUAGCUGGUUCUCUCCGAAAUGCAUUUAGGUGCAGCGUCGGUCGAUUGCGUCGCGGGGGUAGAGCUACCGGAUGCUUGCGGGCCCUUGUUGGGUACCAACAGCAGCCGAACUCCGAAUACCGUUGACGUGUAUUCCGGCAGUGAGUCGGCGGGGGAUAAGCUCCGUCGUCGAGAGGGAGACAGCCCAGACCGUCGUCUAAGGUCCCGAAGCGUGUGCUAAGUGGGAAAGGAUGUGGAGUCGCAUAGACAGCCAGGAGGUUGGCUCAGAAGCAGCCAUCCUUGAAAGAGUGCGUAACAGCUCACUGGUCUAGUGGUUCCGCGCCGACAAUGUAGCGGGGCUCAAGCACACCACCGAAGACGCGGCAGUAUUUUGUACUGGGUAGGAGAGCGUCCCAUGAGGGGCGAAGCGGCCGUGUGAACGCGCCGUGGACUUCAUGGGAGUGAGAAUGCAGACAUGAGUAGCGAGAGACGGGUGAAGAUCCCGUCCGCUGGAUGACCAAGGGUUCCAGGGCCACGUUCAUCGUCCCUGGGUGAGUCGGGUCCUAAGGCGAGGCCGACAGGCGUAGUCGAAUGGAUGAACGGGUCGAUAUUCCCGUACCGGCUUUCAGCCGCCAAAACCGAGGCUUGGAGUACUAACCUCCGGGUCCGGGCUUACUGCUCCUUCGGGGGCGGGAUGCCCUGGCCUGUUGGGACCGAUCCUUGUAGUAGGUCAGCGCAGGAGUGACGCAGAAGGGUAGCCGGCCGCGGAGGUGGUCUUCCGUGGUCAAGCACGCAGGGCGUGGGACAGGCAAAUCCGUCCCGCAUGGGUCCGAGGUGCGAUGAUGGGGGCCUUAUGGCCCGAUAUCCGGUGAUCCCGGCUGCCGAGAAAAGCUUCGGCGUCAGGCUCGAAGCCGCCCGUACCCCAAACCGACACUGGUGGUCAGGUAGAGAAUACCAAAGCGAUCGAGCGAAUCCUGGUCAAGGAACUCGGCAAAUCACUCCCGUUCCUUCGGUUUAAGGGAGACCCCCGAUGGUGAACACACUUGCUGUGGGAGCUUUUGGGGGUGGCACAGACCAGGGGGUAGCGACUGUUUACCAAAAACACAGGUGCAUGCGAAGGCGAAAGCCGCUGUAUAUGCACUGACGCCUGCCCGGUGCCGGAAGGUUAAGAGGAUCCGUCAGCCUUCGGGUGAAGCGGUGAAUUCAAGCCCCGGUAAACGGCGGUGGUAACUAUAACCAUCCUAAGGUAGCGAAAUUCCUUGUCGGGUAAGUUCCGACCUGCACGAAUGGCGUAACGACUUCCCCACUGUCUCGACCAGGAGCUCGGCGAAAUUGCAGUACGAGUAAAGAUGCUCGUUAAGCGCAGAAGGACGAAAAGACCCCGGGACCUUUACUAUACCUUGGUAUUGGCGUUAGGCGCGGAUUGUGUAGCAUAGGCGGGAGGCUUCGAAGCGGGUGCGCCAGCAUUCGUGGAGCCGCAAGGUGAAAUACCGCUCUGUUCUCGUUUGACGUCUAACCUCGACAAGUCAUCCUUGUCAGGGACAGUGCCUGGCGGGUAGUUCAACUGGGGCGGUUGCCUCCCAAAGAGUAACGGAGGCGCUCAAAGGUCCGCUCAGCCCGGUUGGCAAUCGGGUGUCGAGUGUAAUCGCACAAGCGGGCUUGACUGCGAGGACGACGGUCCGAGCAGGGACGAAAGUCGGAGAUAGUGAUCCGGUGCCGGCGCACGGGCGCGGCAUCGCUCAACGGAUAAAAGGUACCCCGGGGAUAACAGGCUGAUCAUUCC
rnacentral:rRNA from 1 species